rnacentral:rRNA from 1 species
CCUACGGGAGGCAGCAGUGGGGAAUAUUGGACAAUGGGCGCAAGCCUGAUCCAGCAAUGCCGCGUGUGUGAAGAAGGUCUUCGGAUUGUAAAGCACUUUCGACGGGGACGAUGAUGACGGUACCCGUAGAAGAAGCCCCGGCUAACUUCGUGCCAGCAGCCGCGGUAAUACGAAGGGGGCUAGCGUUGCUCGGAAUGACUGGGCGUAAAGGGCGCGUAGGCGGAUGAUACAGUCAGAUGUGAAAUUCCCGGGCUCAACCUGGGGGCCGCAUUUGAUACGUGCUGUCUAGAGUGGGGAAGAGGGUCGUGGAAUUCCCAGUGUAGAGGUGAAAUUCGUAGAUAUUGGGAAGAACACCGGUGGCGAAGGCGGCGACCUGGUCCUUUACUGACGCUGAGGCGCGAAAGCGUGGGGAGCAAACAGGAUUAGAUACCCUGGUAGUCCACGCCGUAAACGAUGUGUGCUGGAUGUUGGGUGACAUAGUCACUCAGUGUCGUAGCUAAACGCGAUAAGCACACCGCCUGGGGAGUACGGCCGCAAAGGUUGAAAACUCAAAAUGAAUUGACGG